rnacentral:rRNA from 1 species
UGUGGGAUCAGUGGCGAACGGGUGAGUAACACGUGAGCAACCUGCCCCUGACUCUGGGAUAAGCGCUGGAAACGGCGUCUAAUACUGGAUAUGUGACGUGAUCGCAUGGUCUGCGUCUGGAAAGAAUUUCGGUUGGGGAUGGGCUCGCGGCCUAUCAGCUUGUUGGUGAGGCAAUGGCUCACCAAGGCGUCGACGGGUAGCCGGCCUGAGAGGGUGACCGGCCACACUGGGACUGAGACACGGCCCAGACUCCUACGGGAGGCAGCAGUGGGGAAUAUUGCACAAUGGGCGCAAGCCUGAUGCAGCAACGCCGCGUGAGGGAUGACGGCCUUCGGGUUGUAAACCUCUUUUAGCAGGGAAGAAGCGAAAGUGACGGUACCUGCAGAAAAAGCGCCGGCUAACUACGUGCCAGCAGCCGCGGUAAUACGUAGGGCGCAAGCGUUAUCCGGAAUUAUUGGGCGUAAAGAGCUCGUAGGCGGUUUGUCGCGUCUGCUGUGAAAUCCGGAGGCUCAACCUCCGGCCUGCAGUGGGUACGGGCAGACUAGAGUGCGGUAGGGGAGAUUGGAAUUCCUGGUGUAGCGGUGGAAUGCGCAGAUAUCAGGAGGAACACCGAUGGCGAAGGCAGAUCUCUGGGCCGUAACUGACGCUGAGGAGCGAAAGGGUGGGGAGCAAACAGGCUUAGAUACCCUGGUAGUCCACCCCGUAAACGUUGGGAACUAGUUGUGGGGUCCAUUCCACGGAUUCCGUGACGCAGCUAACGCAUUAAGUUCCCCGCCUGGGGAGUACGGCCGCAAGGCUAAAACUCAAAGGAAUUGACGGGGACCCGCACAAGCGGCGGAGCAUGCGGAUUAAUUCGAUGCAACGCGAAGAACCUUACCAAGGCUUGACAUAUACGAGAACGGGCCAGAAAUGGUCAACUCUUUGGACACUCGUAAACAGGUGGUGCAUGGUUGUCGUCAGCUCGUGUCGUGAGAUGUUGGGUUAAGUCCCGCAACGAGCGCAACCCUCGUUCUAUGUUGCCAGCACGUAAUGGUGGGAACUCAUGGGAUACUGCCGGGGUCAACUCGGAGGAAGGUGGGGAUGACGUCAAAUCAUCAUGCCCCUUAUGUCUUGGGCUUCACGCAUGCUACAAUGGCCGGUACAAAGGGCUGCAAUACCGCGAGGUGGAGCGAAUCCCAAAAAGCCGGUCCCAGUUCGGAUUGAGGUCUGCAACUCGACCUCAUGAAGUCG